GAGGGAAGCAGCGCUUCAGGGGAAGGAUCUAAUGGCUGUGACCUGCGUGGGCUGCAGGAGGAAAUCUACGAUGACGAUCAGGCGGAACUAGAAGACUCAGACAUCUGCUUAACCUGCUCUCCUUAGGAAGGCCUCUCCAGUGGGUUAGGACUAUACAGAGGUGCCCCGGCACUAAUGCCCCAUUUAAGGUUGAAAGCUCAGCUGAGAGAAAAAGUGUGGUGUCAUCGGGUACCCAUCCUAGUAAUAGUUGCCUUCCAUAAGGAGGAUUAACCUGCAUCUCAGGCUCCACUAGGCCAACACAAAUUCCCCUUCAGAAACCAGAUCCUCAUCUCUCACCUUACACAAAAAUCAACUCAAG
rnacentral:lncRNA from 10 species